GGGGUGGGGGCAGGAGAGCCAGAGUCAGACAGAGACGGGAGGAGCUGAGGAGCUGCUGGCCAGGAGCGUGGAGGUGGGGCCCCAGACCAUGGACGUGGGCGCCUGAGAAGCUGAGGACACAAAACAGACGCGGCCCUGAGCCUGCAGGAGGGGGAGCCCUGCCUCCCCCAUCUGCCCCGCAGCUGGGGUCACCGGGGAUUUCUGACCCGUGAAACCUCGAGGCCAUGAGUCUGCACUGCUCUAACCACUGGGUCAGUGGUCCCCUGCCACGGCCACCGUGGGCACCGAGGCAGAGUCCCCGGCUUCUCAGGCACCUAGUGCAGCCUCGUCCACCUGGGGGCACCUGGCUCAUCUCUGUGUGUCAAGAAGACAUCCAGGGCAUCCAGGGCCAGGAGGGAGGCGGGUGGCUGGGUCUGGGGGUCUCAGCCUGAAGGAGCAUCUGUCUCCCCAGCCUGAGGCUGCUGGGGUGAGGCUAUGGGGGCAGGGGAGGUGAUGGACCCUGGGGGGCUGAGGAGGACCGUCCUAUCGGCCGGAGGAGAAGGAAGCUUCUGGAGCCUCACAGCAGGAGUGACAGGCCCCGGACUCCAGGACCGGAACCGCCCCUGCAGGGCCUCCUCCCAGCCCGAGGAUGUUCUCAGGCGUCUCCCCACCCAGCUGAUUCCUAAAUUCCUGCACACAAGAACAGGCGCUCGAGGGCAGGUGUUCCGCAGGUGGACUGGAUGGGGUAUGAAGGGCAGACGCACUCCGGCCGAGGAACGGGGCAUGUGUCCGUCCCAGUGCAGCAGGCUGCACAGAGAUCCCAACCAACCUCUGCGUUCAAAGCGGAGCCCUGUCCUUUCCCAGGUCAGCGACAUCCUGGGAGCCAGUCACCAUGGCGAGGCCUCCCCGCUUAGCCGGCCUUCGGAGCUCUUCGCCACGUGGCGCGCUUUCCCCUUCCGCUUCCCCUCCAUCCGGCACCGCAGCCCUCUGAACAAUCCUGUGCUUCUGGCCGCCUCCACCUUCUGCCCCUGCGGCGCCUUCUGCCUGGACACCCACCCCUCCGCACUUGCAGGAACCGCGUCCUCUGUGGGUCUCUCAGCCAGAACCAUCUCCUGCUGCCCCCACAGCGCUCAGGGUCUCACCAGUGCCUGCAAAGCCACCUGUGGCCGUCACCUCAAUGUUAGAAAUGAUAGGUGCCCCGGUGAGAAGUCUGCGUGUAUAGACGGCAGCCACUGUGAGCGCCGCGUGCCGGCUUCACCGCACUUCUCCCGCUGUGAGCGCCGCACGUUCUGUAUCACAUACAGCGACUUACUCCCAGGAAAACCUGCUCCCAAGUCCCACCGUGUGGCAGAUUUAGGGAUGGGACAAGUAGGAAGGGAAGGCCUGUCCUUUAAUCAUACAUCUGGCACACUUGAGGUGAGGCCAAAAGGAACAGACAAGCAGAGGAGAGAUUAGAAGCGUGUCCCCAACUGGUUCUCCAUGCGUGCAGGCAGUCUCUAAGAAAAUCAAUAAAAGGACGUUGCAAACUACA
ensembl:lncRNA